rnacentral:rRNA from 1 species
UACGGGGGGGGCAUGCGUUGUUCGGAAUUACUGGGCGUAAAGGGCUCGUAGGCGGCCAACUAAGUCGGACGUGAAAUCCCCAGGCUCAACCUGGGAACUGCGUCUGAUACUGGAUGGCUUGAAUCCGGGAGAGGGAUGCAGAAUUCCAGGUGUAGCGGUGAAAUGCGUAGAUAUCUGGAGGAAUACCGGUGGCGAAGGCGGCAUCCUGGACCGGCAUUGACGCUGAGGAGCGAAAGCCAGGGGAGCAAACGGG